rnacentral:rRNA from 1 species
UAGGGAAUCUUCGGCAAUGGGGGCAACCCUGACCGAGCAACGCCGCGUGAGUGAAGAAGGUUUUCGGAUCGUAAAGCUCUGUUGUAAGAGAAGAACGUGUGUGAGAGUGGAAAGUUCACACAGUGACGGUAACUUACCAGAAAGGGACGGCUAACUACGUGCCAGCAGCCGCGGUAAUACGUAGGUCCCGAGCGUUGUCCGGAUUUAUUGGGCGUAAAGCGAGCGCAGGCGGUUUAAUAAGUCUGAAGUUUAAGGCAGUGGCUUAACCAUUGUUCGCUUUGGAAACUGUUAAACUUGAGUGCAGAAGGGGAGAGUGGAAUUCCAUGUGUAGCGGUGAAAUGCGUAGAUAUAUGGAGGAACACCGGUGGCGAAAGCGGCUCUCUGGUCUGUAACUGACGCUGAGGCUCGAAAGCGUGGGGAGCAAACAGG